ACAGGGACCAGGUGUUUGACACAGAGAUUCCCACCACCCCACCAACCACAACUGCAGCUCCCACCACCUCCUCUCAACCCUGGACUGUCAGUCAUACUUCCAGACGAGAGAAAAUAACGCUCUCCCGAUAUAACUUUGGCAGUGUGUGUUGGCAGACAGCAUUGAUAACUCAAUCAGCGAGGACUCUCUGGCGUCUCUGAUCCGAAUUCCUGGUGGCUGUGUGGAGCAGAACUUGACCUCCAUCACUCUGCCACUCAUUUCCACCCUGUACCUGGACCGAAGCAACGGCUGGGAGAGUGUAGGAGUGCAACGCAAGGCUGAGGCUAUCCGAUACAUCAGGAGAGGCUAUGAGAACCAGCUGGCAUACAGAAGGAGCGGUGGCUCCUGUGUCUCUGUACGGCGGAUACGGGGCACAGGAGCAAGCACAUGGAUCACAGCGUACGUGGUGAAGGUGUGGCUGAUGAUGGCCGUUUUGCCAUCAUCGGCAUCAACCAGCAACAAGUGUGUGACCCUCUGCUCUACCUGGUGAAGAAUAAAUUCCGGCAUAGAGAGAAAAUCUACGUAGAAGACAACCCCGUUUACAGCACGACCAUGACUGGUGGUCUCUGUGGUGACGACCCAGAGACAACUCUGACCGCCUUUGUCCACAUCGGUCCCACAUUUGUCCACAAUGCGCUCAAGCAGGCAGGGAUCCACUGCAGCAGUCCAGGUGUAAAUGUGGAGGAAGCCAUCCGUUCAACAUGAGCCUACUUGAAGAGAGCUCUGACGAAGCCUGGGAGGAGACCAUACACGGUGGCCAUCGCCUCUUAUGCCCUGGCUUUGGACGGCUUGCCCACCACUCUUCAUGAACUUUUACUCAGAGGUGCAGCUCCAGGUUUCAGCCACUGGCUUGACAGGGAAAACCACUUGUUCAUGCUGGAGGCGACCGGCUAUGCCCUGCUGGCUCUGGUCAAGUGGGGACGAAUGGAGGAAGCUGCUGCACCCUUCAAAUGGCUGAACAGCCAGAGAAGAAGAGGAGGAGGCUUCGGCUCCACUCAGCCCACCAUGCUGGGUGGUGGUCUCUGCGUCAAACACCUGGUCAGAGUACCUGAUACACAAACCCCCUCCUGAUGACCACAGUCUGGAUGUAGACGUCAGGAUAACAGGACGCAAGGAAAUCCGCUACCAUUUUAACCCGAAGACAGCCUAUGCUGCUCGUACCUCCAGGUUGUCUGCUAAUCUUGAUUUGGAAGUAGAGGCUCAAGGAAAUGGACAAGGAAUACUAGAGUACAGGGAAAGACAACCACGGGUUGUGACCUAUUACAAUCAGCUGCAUGAGGUGGAAGAGAAAAUGCCCUGCAAGCACUUUGAUCUCAACGUCACUUUUGAAGGAUCCAGCGAAAAGCCUCCAGCAGAUGUAGAAAAGUCAGACAAGAUCAAGUAGUUGUUGUUGUUGUUAUACGUGUACACGACUGUGCAAAAUGUUAGAUCGGCAGCAAUAUCGACUACCUUAUUACAAAUUGCAGGGCACAGUUUCACAGCUUUGGGUAGUUCAAAAUAUCUUGUGCCAGUUCCUCUGUGGACUGACACUCUGUACAUUAUCUGAUAGGUACUUUAUUCAUUCCCUUAGGGAGAUUCAAGGUAUGCAUGAGCUCACGUGUUACAUAGAAGAUAGAGGGCCACUGUGCGAAUGAGCAUGCAACAGACAUCCCAAAUCUGCCUAAAAUGCUGGUAUUUACA